AUGGAUGGGGGUGGAACCCUAGCCCCACACCCACCCAUGGAUGACGACGGCAGCGGCCUUCUCUCGAUGGGGUGGGGAGCGAAGCUUCCUGAUGCGGUGGCCCUCGAUGCCUGCGACGGGCUGCAGCACCUAGACUUCAAAGCUGUCGGCCGGCCCCGAUGGAGCCUUGCAGCGGCUGGGCGUGACCAUGCUCUGCCUCCGCUGGUGAGAGCUGUGAGGAGUCAGAGAGGGAGAUUGAGGAGGAGGAAGAUGAUACACCCGGCAGCGCGACACAUGCGUCUCCCAACGGCGCUUGCAACGGGAGAUCCGUGGGGAGGGGGGUCGGGAGGAGGCCCCCAGCGGCGUGCUCGCACACGCAUUCCACGACGACCACAUCACCAGCGCCCCUGCCAUCCUCCUCCAAGCCCAUGGCCAGUGGCUCCCCAAGGCCAAGCUAUGUCAGGCUGCAGCAGCAAGGAAGACACUGAUAUAUCAGCAAGGACCAGCACAAAAAGAAGACCAAUUAAGUUACUUGUGUUUAAGAGUACACUACUUUUGACUUUGGAGUCACACUGGUGCAUGGGGCGUCGCAUGGUCUAUGCUGGAGGUGUUCACAUAUAA
rnacentral:rRNA from 1 species